rnacentral:snRNA from 1 species
AGAGGUGACUGAUUACUGACUGGCAAGGCAGGUGUCCCCACCCUCAGUCACUGCUCCUGUGCAUCUUUCAUAAGCUGUGUGCUCAGUCAAAGAAGAAUAGCUUCUACCUCUUCUGGUAGAGGAGCACUGUUCUUCAGUCAAGUAUAUACAAGUGGCUACACUCCUCUGCUAGAUCAUUUAAAUAUGAUCUCAAGAUAAGCUCAGCAGAGAGCUCCAGCUAGAAACAGCAAACUUCUGUU